AAAAAGAAUUAAAAAAAUUAAUUGAACCAUGAAGUCCACCUGAAAAAGGAAGAGCCGAGGAAAGUCCAGUUCCUGUUUCCUAUCUGCUUUCUUUUGCUUGUCCGCCACCAAAUCUAGAGCCGAUAGAAGCCGCACGUUGCCGGAUUGCUACCGAAGAGGUUGAACAAGAGUUGAAAUAAGAAGAUUGGAAAUGGCUGAUGAUCUGGUCACCCGAUAUUGGUGUUACAUGUGUCGGCAAAGAGUGAACCCAGUCAUGGAGGUGGAACCUAAAUGCCCCUUCUGUGACAGUGGGUUUGUGGAAGAAAUGGAUGGAAGGGAAGUACCUGAAACUGAAGACGUGGGAUCUGAGAGAGUCCUUUCUCCAUGGGCUUCUAUCCUACUAGGGAUGAUGGCUAAUCCUUCUCGUCGUCGCCGUAGCAGGAGGAUUUCGAGGAUUGAAGAGAAUGAUGACUCUGAUCUGGACCGUGAGCUGGAAUCCACUGCACGGAGACGGGGUAGGGAGUUAGAGGAAGAAGAAAGAAGGAUGGGUAGGGAAGAGGAGGAGAAUGAGUCGGAUACUGAGCGUGAAUUGGACUCCAUUGUACGAAGGAGAAGGCGGAGUACAGCCAUACUUCAAUUGCUUCAUAGCCUUCGCGAAGAUUUUAGGUCGGAUUCUAAUGAUGUAGAGAGGGAAAGGGAAAGAGAACGGGAUAGACAUAGUCUGAUCCUAAUUAAUACUUUUAAUCAGGCUAUUGUUCUCCAAGGAUUCGUUGAUUCAGAUCAAAACCAAAACCAAGACUCAAAUAGUGCUGCUUUUGGUGCCUCCAUUGGAGAUUACUUCAUUGGAUCAGGACUGGAUUUACUGUUGCAACAUCUAGCAGAAAAUGAUCCAAACCGCUAUGGCACUCCACCUGCCCAGAAAGAGGCGGUGGAUGCGAUGCCUACUGUAAAAAUUGAGGAGGAUAUAAUCUGUCCAGUCUGUUUAGAGGACUUUAAAAUCGGAAUGGAAGCUAGGGAAAUGCCAUGUAAACAUUCUUUUCAUUCUGGAUGCAUUUUACCAUGGCUGGAACUCCAUAGUUCUUGCCCUGUAUGUAGAUUUCAGUUGCCUGCAGAUGAAACUAAGAAUUCAAGCGGGACAGCUGAUGGCAGUAGAUCAGGGGGGAGUGGUAGGGAUGGUGGUGUUGGAGGGAGGAGGAAUAGAUCAAGGGCUUCGACCUUGUGGCCAUUCAAUGGAUUGUUUUCAUUUUCAGACAAAUUUGGAGGAUGCUUACGCCAAAUAAGUUUAGUUCUGAGCAAUGAAGAGGUAAAUAAGAAUAUUAUCAGCAGGGAAGGUAAGUAUAAAGAUUAUCAGUUCUUUGACUUAGGGUUGAACAGUUCAUGCUGUCUAAAUUGCUAUUUUACUUGAAAGCAUCAUUACAUUACAUUCUUGCGUUUCUGUGCAACUAAUAUUACUAGCUGCUAAAUUUUAUACCUUAUGCUCAGUAUAUUGUUAGAUCCUUCUUAAGCUAUAGAUAGUGUGCCCUUCAAGUUGUUCUUUUUUUUCCAUAUGUAUAAUGCCUGAAUAUUAAUUAUUUGAAAAAAAUAUAUUUUUAUUUCUUAGCAAAGUACAAAAAAUAUAGGCAUAUUUAAAACUUUGAUAUCAUAAAAUAUUUUUUUUUAUUACAUUCCCAUAUUUUUUGAAAGAUAUUACUUUUCAAGUUUUGCUUUGACAUAUUGAGAGCACAUCAAAUAUAAAUUAAUUUUGUAUAUUUUUAAGCUUUCCCUCUUGUAUCUGGUCAAUACAAUUUCAUAAUUCACACAAUCAUAAACUUUAUUUAAUACUUGCUAAUGUUAUGUGUACUUCACUAUUUGGACUUUGAAAUUGUCAAAAGUUAAAUUAAGAUUUUGUUUGGGACGACUUUCUUAUUGCUUCUUAAAACAGUUUUUUUUAGUACGGAAAUAAAAUUUGAUCACCUUGUGCUCUUGCUUAAAUUUUAUUUCAAGCUUCUUUUUCUAAUACCUUGUUGCUCCUCCACUUUGACAUAUUGAGAGCAUAUCAAUUGACAAAUUUCUCCAAUGACAAGGAGUGAAGGGCUGCCCAUUUUGGAAGAAUUGAAAAGGACCUGUCAAUUUCGGGUUAUGGGUCGGGUUCGGGUCGAACCCGAAACUGAUCUGGCACUAUUCGGGUUCGGGUUGACCCGACCCGUUUUCUCAAACGGGUCGAUUUUCUGGACCCGAACCCGACCUGCUUCGGGUUCGGGUCAACCCGACCCGACCCGCAUACGCCGGAUGCCGGACGUUGAACUGUCGGACGCCGGAUGCGGAACUGUCGGCCGCCGGAAGCCGGACGUGGCGCGAAACUGCCGCGGUCCGCGGACAUGGCAUGGACGCGACCCGUGAUGUCCUCAGGACGCGAUGCGAGGCAGGCAGGCAGCCUCAUGAUGCAGCGGACGGGCAGGCUAGCUCUGGGCAGGCGGGCAGCCGGGAAGCGAGCAGGGUCACUCUGGGCAGAUCGGCAGACAUAUUUGUGUGCAUUCCGGGUCAUUUCGAGUUGUUCCCAGGUUCCCGGGUCAACUCGAAUCCGACCCGGUUUUUCAAACGGGUCGGUUUUUAGAACCCAAACCCGACUCGCUUCAGGUUCGGGUCAACCCAAAUCCGAAAUUUUUGGGUUGGGUUCUGGUCAGGUUUUUGGGUCGGGUCCAAUAUUGACAGGUCUACUUGUUUGGAAUGGUUUUUUUAUUUUUUUUUAAGAAAAUAGUUUAAUAAAACAAGACAAUGAAUUUGA